CGUCGGUUGGGACUGAGGUAUGAACCGAUGCCAACAGGAGGAGGAAGGCCACCCCCUCUUACAGUGGAAAAGGGAGAGUUUCCAAAAACCUUACUCAGGGAAGGGAAACCCAGAGAACAACUGACCACUCAACAGUGACUCUCCCCUCCCACUUCUUUGAAACAGUAGCUUCAGGACUUUGGUCCAGAAGGAUGAGGCGCCACUGUCCAUCAGAGAUACAUUUGACCUAUAUUGGAGGGAAGCAGGCUGAAAAAUGGAAACAUCACCCCAACACAGCAGCAGCAGCAGAGAGGGAGAGAAAGCAGGAGCCUGUAUCUCCAAUGACAACCGGGUGACACAGAGAGAAGUCACCAUCUAUGAACCAAUAACCAGCCCUCACCAGAUACUGAACCUGCUGGUGCAGUGAUCUUAGGCUUUCCAGACUUGAAAACUGUGAGAGAUAAAUUUCUGUUGUUUAUAAAUCACACAGUUUGCGGUACUUUGUUAUAGCAGCCCAGAUGGACUAAGAUGGCAACAUCCCUCCCACUCCCACGUGCCACUUGGUGGAUGAUAUUGAGGAGGACCGAAAGCCGAGGAUUCUCCAAGCAGACAAGCUCUUAUGCUUGGGAGUCAUGGUGGAGUGCUUAUAAACUCUGGCAUAGAAACUCCCAAAGUCAGGGGAAUGCUGGACUUUGAAAAGCAGAAAGGCGAGCCUUCCUUUGUUGAAAGCUCUCACGGACACACAUGUCUCUAGUUAUAUGCCUAAUAUGCUCAUAUCCCAAGAAAGGAUCCCACCAUUAAUUAAAAUAGGGACAUGUCACACAUGUCACUUGCCUUUGUGGAGUACCAUGGUCAAAGUCCUGGAAUGUCAGGAUCAAUACAUUAGCUUACUUCUUGGCUUUUCAUUUUUCCAGUUUGCUUGACUGCAAAAUGCUAUCCUAUGUCAUUCCUCUAUUAAAAAAAAAAAAGCAAAAGCUGAACAACAACAACAACAACAACAACAACUGUGCAGAACCCAUUUAAAGAAGUUGUGCUGAACCAGGCAGAAACUGAUUAUUAAUCAAACGAGGCACAGGCAAUAGAAUGAACCAUCUGCCAGGGGUCAAGAGACCUGGAUUUUGGUCUAGACUCUUCCGUUAAUUAGCUAUGUGACUUUGGGGGAAAUCCCAUUCCUCUGGGCCUUGGUUUACUUGCCUGUAAAAUGAGGGUCUCUAAUUAGGUCAUUCCUAAGGCCUCUUCGGGCUCUAAUGUAUGGUGUUUUCUGAUUUGAGAGAUUUAUCUACUGGUGGGCUGUCUCUCUGUCUGUUAGCUGUCGUAGCCUAGGUUGGCAGUUGCAGGGCCUGUAAAGCACCUGGAAUCUCUCCCAGAGAAGGCAAAGUGAGCUGCAGUCCCCCAAAGCCAUCUGGACAGUACUGCCACCUGUGUGUUCCUGGCCCACCGUAGGAUGUUGGCUAUGCCCCACCCCUCACACUCCCCCCCUCCCUCUUUUUCUUCCCUCUCCCUCUCUGCCUCUUUCAGAGACCCCCCUUUGCCUACACUGACCUAAGAUAAGAGUUUUUGGCUUUUUUUGUCUUAAGAUGAUUCUCACGAUGCAUCUCAGGGUGCCUUCAAACUCACAUCCUCCCUCCUCUAUGUCCCAAGUGCUAAAGCCGUUACCUGGAUAUUAUUAUCAGGUUUAAGAGUGCUUGGUGGGAAAAAAGCCAUUCGAAGUCUGUGACUAUGAUCCCUCUAACCAGUAUGUCAACAGGGCCAUGUUCAGAAAGAUCCUUCGUGGGACUCUCUCACUGACUGGAUAGUCAUGGGGACCCCACUGGAAAAAUGCCUAGAAGGUUGUAGGAUUGAGAUACCCAAGUAGAAAUAAGGACAGUCUGAGUGGCAUGUGUCUAUGAUGCGUUGAUUAUGGGGGUGAAUCUCUGCAUCUGUAUAAGAGGGCAGGAAAUGAAGAGUCAUAUGACACCACAGGCCACAGAAGAAACUCUUGCCUGCUGAUGUGUCAGGAUGUCUCUAUGGUCAAACAGGCAGUGGAGAGACACUGAUGCUUUUCCAGGAACGUGGUGAGCUGGGCAGCAGUAUGGGCAGUACCCAUGGGCUUCACACACGGCCCUAUAAUGUCAAGCUCCAGGUGAGCUCUAGCCACAUUCCAGCAGGUGGGACAGCAAAGACAGAGACACCCUCAAGGGCACAUAAGGAAAAAGGAGUCAGGAGCAGGGGCCCUUAAAAAAGACUAGUGGAAGAGGGGACCCCAGUUCUCCAAGCUCAAGCAGGGAAACAGAAAUAUUCUCAGGGAUAUAGCAGCAUGAGGAGGGCCCUGAAAACUCUCCUCAGAGCAGACAGUCUUUGCCUGCUCAUUCUAGAGGAGCAGUCUGUGCC
rnacentral:lncRNA from 1 species